rnacentral:rRNA from 1 species
GUAACGAAUAUUCCGCAAUGGACGCAAGUCUGACGGAGCGAUGCCGCGUGCAGGACGAAGCCCUUCGGGGUGUAAACUGCUGUCAGGGGUAAGCAACCCAAUGAGCUACCCCAAAGGAAGAGGCGACUAACUCUGUGCCAGCAGUCGCGGUAAUACAGAGGCCUCGAGCGUUAAUCGGAAUCACUGGGCUUAAAGGGUGCGUAGGCGGGUCCGUAAGUGCCUUGUGAAAUCCCCUGGCUUAACCAGGGAACGGCUGGGCAGACUGCGGGCCUUGAGGUCGGUAGGGGUCGCUGGAACGGUUGGUGGAGCGGUGAAAUGCGUAGAUAUCAACCGGAACGCCAAAGGUGAAGACAGGCGACUGGGCCGACUCUGACGCUGAGGCACGAAAGCGUGGGGAGCAAACGGGAUUAGAAACCCCGGUAGUCC